UUAAGUUCAGCGGGUAGUCCUACCUGAUUUGAGGUCAAAUUUGUCAAUCCAACUCGUCAGAAGCAGCACAGUGAGAGACAAGGCAUAGAUUUUAUUUAUCACGCCAGUAGGACUCCACAGAUACCACUGAUACAUUUCAGGAGAGCCGACUUCUAGAAGCCUGCAGCCCCCAUUAUCCAAAAUUCCACCAUGUGGGUUUU
rnacentral:misc_RNA from 1 species